rnacentral:lncRNA from 1 species
ACUCUUAGGUUGUCUUGAUUGAAGCUCUAUCGAAUAUGAUCUCUGGUUUUGUUCUCCUUAGAUUGUCCUCUAAUCUCUCUCUAAUUUAGAUUACUCUUUCUGUUGUCUUGAUUUCUUGAAUUUAAUCUAACCAGUUAGAUCACUUGCAUUUUUUCCUUCCAAUUUUCCUGCGCACAAAUUUGAAUUAGAUAAGUAGUUGCUCUUGUCAUCAUUAAAGCUCAAAGCGUAAGAAAAGCCACUAAGCCAGGGAUACAUAUUAACUGUACGAUCAUUUUACAAGGAUAGUGUAAUGUUGUGAAUGGCGUUUAAAAAUAAGUGCAAAAAUGUAUACAUAGUCAGAUCAGGCGGAUCUAGAAUUCAAAUUUUAUGGAUUCAACAUUUAAGAUUUUUAGUAUUGAAUCCAUUAUAUCCUAUAUAAUUAUAGGUUCAUAUUUAUAAUUUAUUGUGAUCAUAGUGAUUUUUUGCACAUAAAUUUAUGCUCCGCAUAAAAAAUUAUGGACUUAAUUGAACUCAGUGUUAUAGAGCAUCCGACAGAUUGCAACAAGAAUAUCUGUUUGUUGGGUCGUGGACAUAAAAUGAACGCGUAUAAAAUCUCUCUCUCUCUCU